rnacentral:rRNA from 1 species
AUUGAACGCUGGCGGCAGGCCUAACACAUGCAAGUCGAGCGGAGCGGCGGAAGGGUGAGUAAUGCCUAGGAAUCUGCCUGGUAGUGGGGGAGAAAGUCCGGAAACGGGCGCUAAUACCGCCUACUAUAGGAUGAGCCUAGGUCGGAUUAGCUAGUUGGUGGGGUAAAGGCCUACCAAUGCGACGCUCCGUAACUGGUCUGAGAGGAUGAUCAGGCACCAUGGAACUGAGACACGGUCCAGACUCCUACGUGCGGCAGUAGUGGGGAAUAUUGGACAAUGGGCGAAAUCCUGAUCCAGCCAUGCCGCGUGUGUGAAGAAGGUCUUCGGAUUGUAAAGCACUUUAAGUUGGGAGGCGUUACCAACAGAAUAAGCACCGGCUAACUUCGUGCCAGCAGCCGCGGUAAUUC